AAGACUAUACUUUCAGGGAUCAUUUCUAUAGUUCGUUACUAGAGAAGUUUCUCUGAAUGUGUAGAGCACCGAGG
rnacentral:snoRNA from 1 species